UACGUAGGGGGCAAGCGUUGUCCGGAUUUAUUGGGCGUAAAGAGCGUGUAGGCGGCCCGGUAAGUCCGCUGUGAAAGUCGGGGGCUCAACCCUCGAAUGCCGGUGGAUACUGUCGGGCUAGAGUGCGGAAGAGGCGAGUGGAAUUCCUGGUGUAGCGGUGAAAUGCGCAGAUAUCAGGAGGAACACCGAUGGCGAAGGCAGGUCUCUGGGCCACUACUGACGCUGAGAAGCGAAAGCAUGGGGAGCGAACAGG
rnacentral:rRNA from 1 species